CAGGGUCUGACGACUGCCCAAACCAAACCGUGAACUACUCCGAUUUCCUGCCUCGGCGGGCCGCUCGCUGGGGGAGCCUCCGGACCGUCGCCGCGUUGCGGUGGUUGGUCCGCCGAAGCAAUUCUCAAAAAAACAUUUUCCGAGAAAAUCUCUGAGAAGCAACUUUCUGAAAAGAAAAAAUCAGUCA
rnacentral:misc_RNA from 1 species